AUAUCUUUUAUUUUCCUUCUGAUUUGCUUGUAUUAUUUUCACUUUGUCUACAGUUUUACCUGCCACACAAUGUCUGUCUUCACCACAUAAUGAGAUCAAAUAGUCAUAGCUCUGGUCUGGAUUAAAUCCUAGAUCUUAAUCACAUUCAUCCAUUCAUGGACUUACAGAUCAUCUAAAUGAGGAACUCAGGGCACUCAGCAGACAAAUCCUUAGCAAGCCAAUACAGACCUGCUAAGAGUCUAAGUGAAAUUGCGUGAUGCUCCAACCAACCUGAGAGCUGCAUUAAGCAAGGAACACAGUGACAAGGAUACUGCAGUCUGCCAGGGGAAAUCAUGAGCUCUUGCACUGCAGAGAAGAGAGGUAUUAAUGGUGGUGGUUUCAGUGCUGACUGCUCUGCAAAUAUGAACUGAACUGAAAUCUCCAUAUUCAUUUCACAAAGAAUGUUGCUGUUUUUCCACAGUUUAAUCUGGUUCAAGAAUUCUGCUCAGUUCCAAGGAAGACACAGUUCCAUAUACCAUUAAUACAGAAGAUAAACUGGCUGGCCUUACACUUCAUUAUACAUGAAAUUUUCAGUUCCUUUCAUCCAGCUGCAAAGAAUUAUCCACUAAGAAGCAUGAAAUUAAAUGAAAAUGCACUUGUUAAAAAAUAUUGAUGGAGUGAAGCUAUAAAAACAUUGACUUGGGGAAUUACUUCUAGAAAUGUUCUAAAGUGUGUCUAAUUUAGAACUAGAUGUUAAUCUGUCUGUCAAGGUGGGACAGAGCCUUCUCUGCUUUUCCACACUUACCAUCCACUACAAUGAUAAUUACAACAUAUUGAAACUCUAACUUUUAUAAAUAAAAGGAAAACGGUACCUAAACUGAUUAUAUUC
rnacentral:lncRNA from 1 species